rnacentral:rRNA from 1 species
AAUAGUGGACAAUGGGGGCAACCCUGAUCCAGCCAUGCCGAGUGUGUGAAGAAGGUCNNNGGAUUNUCAAGCACUUUAAGUUGNGAGNAAGGGCAGUAAGUUAAUACCUUGCUGUAUUGACGUUACCGACAGAAUAAGCACCGGCUAACUUCGUGCCAGCAGCCGCGGUAAUACGAAGGGUUCAAGCGUUAAUCGGAAUUACUGGGCAUAAAGCGCGCGUAGGUGGUUUGAUGAGUUGGAAGUGAAAGCCCCGGGCUCAACCUGGGAACUGCUUUCAAAACUGGCAAGCUAGAGUAUGGCAGAGGGUGGUGGAAUUUCCUGUGUAGCGGUGAAAUGCGUAGAUAUAGGAAGGAACACCAGUGGCGAAGGCGACUACCUGGACUGAUACGGACACUGAGGUGCGAAAGCGUGGGGAGCAAAC